ensembl:ncRNA lncRNA:CR45735 long non-coding RNA:CR45735
GCCAUUCUUUAUUUUUCGGUAAAGGAAGGCUGAAAAAAAUUGGACUUUGUGAUUACUGGGCCAACAAAACCAAGAGGAUCAUGGAACCGUGGGAUUGCGGAUAAAACUAAACGCCUGCAAGUCCUUGAUGUUGACUGAAGGGUUGAAAUUGAGAAAAACACUGAUCAGAUACCGGAUUUCAGGCGAGACCUUUUUGUAAAACCGCCUUCAUCGUCAAACUUCAAAAAUCAUCUUCCGAAAAUCCUACCAAAUCGGCUGGUACAUUUGAACGAAAUUUAGUGGUGAUUUUUCUAUCGGAACUUCUGACAUAUGUACCGUCUGCACGUACUCCUUAAUGAAAGCCUUGUAUUAAACCCUGACUGCUGGACGAUUCCCUAAUUUUUUCUUUCAAGAGAUAAGAAUGCUCGCAGAGCAUACUGUUAGGACUCGGGGAAACCCCCACCCCACAACACCGACAAAGCAGCACAUCAAGACGAUUUAGUUGGGUUUUCUCAUUAAAGCCUUGGCAUUGGAGCGACCGCAGCCUCCGGAAACAACCCAGCCUAUGCGAGUCUUUUUAAAUUAGAGACCAUCCCGGCCGAAGCUUGACUUGAGCAACACACCACCCUGGCAUCCUGGACUGCCCUUAGCAGUAGAAUCUCAGUGACAAAAAAAAUCGAUCUAAUCUAAUCUAUCUAAUCUAUCUAUCUAUUAGCGUCGGAAACAUGGAAUUAAAGUCCAUCUAGUUAGCAUAGCCUAAAACGAAUUUGAUGGUCACAAUCACACGGAGAAAUGCCUUCAACAAAACUUG